rnacentral:rRNA from 1 species
CAAGGAAUAUUGCCCAAUGGACGGAAGUCUGAGGCAGCAACACCGCGUGGAGGACGAAGGCCUUCGGGUCGUAAACUCCUUUUCUGGGGGAUGAAGUGCCACGAGAGUGGCGUUGACAGUACCCCAGGAAUAAGUCUCGGCUAACUACGUGCCAGCAGCCGCGGUAAAACGUAGGAGGCAAGCGUUAUCCGGAAUUACUGGGCGUAAAGCGCAUGCAGGCGGUUGUCAAAGUCGGACGUGAAAGCUCCUGGCUCAACUAGGAGAGGUCGUUCGAGACUCGGCAGCUAGAGGGUGAUAGAGGCGAGUGGAAUUCCCGGUGUAGUGGUGAAAUGCGUAGAUAUCGGGAGGAACACCAGAGGCGAAGGCGGCUCGCUGGGUCACACCUGACGCUAAGAUGCGAAAGCCAGGGGAGAGAACGGGAUUAGAAACCCCGGUAUUCCUGGCCGUAAACGAUGUCAACUAGGCGUAGGCGGUUAAUAAUCCGUCUGUGCUGAAGCCAACGCG